AAGCUCGUAGUUGAAUUUCGGGCUUGGUUGGGCGGUCCGCCUCACGGCGUGUACUGUCUGACUGGGUCUUACCUCUUGGUGAGCCGGCGUGGCCUUUAUUGGUUGCGUCGGGGAACCAGGACUUUUACCUUGAGAAAAUUAGAGUGUUCAAAGCAGGCCUAUGUCCGAAUACAUUAGCAUGAAAUAAUAGAAUAGGACGUGCGAUCCUAUUUUGUUGGUUUCUAGAGUCGCCGUAAUGAUUAAUAGGGAUAGUUGGG
rnacentral:rRNA from 1 species